AAACUCCCAAACCGAUGGUCCACAAAAACUCACCACCAGGCAUCCUUCGGUCCCACGACGUCUCUACUCCCUCGAUCCCUCUAUGUCUAUCUCUUCGCCUCCUUCUCUGCUGCGUCUGGGCUCUUGGCGCACUACGCCUUCGUCGCCCCCCGGCUCCCCGUCCCCCCAUCCCCCAGCCGUCUCCCCAUCCCCCAGCCCCCGUUGCGUCCUGUCCGGAGAAAGCGCCGGCAGUGCCAACUUAUCGCCAUCGCCCGUGUGGAAGUUGGGAGAUCCCCGAUCUGAAGUUGGGAAACCAGAUUAAAAGAUUUUGUUGUCUUCGUGGGUUCAAGUUUAGCAGUGGUUCCCAAGAGGAAACCCCCCGCCGCCGGCGGCGGCGACGACGACGAGACAUUGGAGGAAGCUGUCCACACACGAGUUGCUCUACAAGGCGAGGCCAGUGGAGGAUAGGCAGCGGCACACGAUCAUUGCGUACGUGCAAGGGGUUUUCUUGACUACCCUGGACUCGAGCUGCCGCUGCCACCGUCAAGUCUAGCAAUUUGACUGAUUCGAGUGGCAUCCAAGGGAAUUUAUUAAUGUGCACAUAUUCAUUUGGUCCAUAUCUCAAAUUAACAAAAAGCCACGCUCAAGCAGCACCACCUGUAAGUACCCAGUCAAUCUCUUUCAAUCUAUUUAUGUUAAAGACUUGAUGACUUGAUGUAUACAUAGGACAUCAUAAAUUAUCUUUUCUUUCCUGGAAGGGUUACCUACGUCCCUGUCCUCAUUCAUGCUUAUGAUGUACAAAUUAUACACGAUGAGUGCUAUCUGGUAAACAUUUUUUUGUGGGAAAAUCAGUAAACAAAUUAACUCGAGCUAUUUCAAAGUGAUGCAUUACUUGCUGCAGUCUAAUUCUAAACUUUUUUCUAAUUUUCAUUUUCCAAACUAUAAUAUUUUGUAUCCUGAGAUAUUUUCAGGCAUAUGGGAGUGUCCCUAAUACCCUGGUUAUUGCAACUUGUGAAAUUGUCAAGCCACGGCUUGCAGCUGCAGAGCACAUAUCACAGUUCAAUGAGGAUGCACGAUCACCUUUUGUAAAGAAAUACAAGACUAUCAUUCACUCAGGAGAGGUAAUAAUUUGUCCUAUAUGCGUCCUAACUUGCAACUACUCCCUCCGUUCGGAAUUACUUGUCGCAGAAAUGGAUGUAUCUAGAUGUAUUUUAGUUCUAGAUACAUUCAUAUCCGAGACAAGUAAUUCUGAACGGAGGGAGUAUAUAGUAUCUAAGUUAUCUUCUUUACAUGUUGUUUACUCUAUUUUUUACUUCCCAUGCACUAUGGAUUUGAGGGUAUAUGCAUAUUUAUGUUCCGGAGGUAAGUCAUAUGCAGAUUUUACUACUGACCAUGAUGGUCGACUUGCUUUUUUUCCUUUUGCUGAAUUCCACAAUAAUUUCCUCUAUACUUCCCUUUGUGUAAGUGUUCCAUGUAAACUUUAGGUAAGAGUAUAUAGUAUGGAUGCAUAUAUAUGUUAUUCUAAAAGUUCAAUCUUUCCUAUGGUCGAUGGCAGAUCACUGAACUUGAAUAGUCCUCCAUCAAUUAUGAUCUUUUUGUGGGGAAAUAAAUUAUGAACAUUACAUGUUCUGUCAAGACAAGGUUAUAGUUUUGCUGAACAUUCUCAUGCUACUUUUGCUCAUGUUAUUUGCUCGGCCCCACUAAAGAGUAUCCUGGUGUCACAGGCUUACUUAAAUUUCACAAAGAUACCAGUGAACGACUACCUAGGUGCACCCAAGAUCUGAAAACGUAAUUCAAUUUAGACCUACAAAAAUGCUAUCAAUUGAUCUAAUUUCACCUGAUAAUUUGUUUACGCAAAACCCUAGAUUUUAUCAACCAUGUUAUUGAACCAUUGAGGAAGGCAAUGCUAUCAUCCACUUGAUGCAACUCCUAUCCUUCCAUUCCCUGUUCAGGAUCACAUUUGCUCAGCCCCACUAAAGAGUAUCUUUGUUGUUCAUCACAUCUAUUUAUUAAUUAAUUGUAAUGCAAGAUAAAUGUAACUUCUCUUAAUAAGAUAACUAUCUUGAUGUUUACAAGUUGCUUUUGUCUUGAUUAUGUAGUUUCCUAACAUACAACAACUUCAACUUGAUAAUUGGCCACUCAAGCAUGAAUGACGAUGUAGAUGGAAAUGGUUAUACAUAUACUAUGAGAUUUACAAGUUUUUUGUUUUAUUUCUUCAGAGUUAUGUUAUCGAAUGCAUAGAGUUAGUCAGAAGAUGGAGCUUUCUGAUGAAGCUACAAGCUGCCUGCCUUUUCAUCAUCUAUACCAUUGUGGGAUGGAUUAAAGAAAAUGUACAUGGGAGUUUCUGAUGCAGUUGUGCACAAUCAAGACUUGGGGUUGUAGCUAGGUGGUGAUGUUUAGUUACAACUUGAUAGUUUAUUUCACUUGCAUAUAUUAAAAAGCUUAACCAUUCUCUGUUUCGAUUGUUUGUGUAUUGCCCAAACUUUGAAUGAAAAGCUUAACCAUUCUCUGUUUC